rnacentral:rRNA from 1 species
CAAGUCGAAUGCGAACGUAGCAAUACUAGUAGCAUGGCGAAAGGGAUAGUAAUGCAUGGGCAAUCUACCCUCGACUCCGGGAUAUGCGGUAGAAAUGCCGAGUAAUACUGGACGCCGUUAUGUGGGGACAUCCCCGUUUAACGAAAGGUCCGCCGGUCGAGGAGGAGCUCAUGUCCUAUCAGCUAGUUGGUGAGGUAACGGCUCACCAAGGCGACGACGGGUAGCGGGUGUGAGAGCACGACCCGCAUCACUGGCACUGAGACACUGGCCAGACUCCUACGGGAGGCUGCAGUCGAGAAUCUUCGUCAAUGGGGGAAACCCUGAACGAGCGACGCCGCGUGGAGGAUGAAGGCCUUCGGGUUGUAAACUCCUGUUGGGAGGGAACAAAUUUUGAGUGACCUCCUGAGGAAGCACGGGCUAAGUUCGUGCCAGCAGCCGCGGUAAGACGAACCGUGCGAACGUUAUUCGGAAUCAUUGGGCUUAAAGGGCGCGUAGGCGGCGGUGUAAGUUGGAAGUGAAAUCCCAUCGGCUCAACCGUGGAAUUGCUCCCAGUACUGCAUCGCUCGAGGGGGAUAGGGGUUUGCGGAACUACCGGUGGAGCGGUGAAAUGUGUUGAUAUCGGUGGGAACGCCAGUGGCGAAAGCGGCAAACUUGACCCUUCCUGACGCUGAGGCGCGAAAGCUAGGGGAGCAAACGGGAUUAGAUACCCCGGUAGUCCUAGCCUUAAACGUUGGGUACUGAGUAGAAAGGGGACCGAUACCCCCUUCUGCUGGAGCGAAAGUGUUAAGUACCCCGCCUGGGGAGUAUGGUCGCAAGGCUGAAACUCAAAGGAAUUGACGGGGGCUCACACC